AAUACAGCUGAGAGCCUCUGUUGACAGAUGGAUGCCUUCUUAAUCACAGCCUGUGCGGGACACCCACACGACUAGGAGGAGGCAGAAAGUGAACAGGGCGCUCUUAUUACUUUUUGAGUGGCAGCAAGUUAAGAUAUCAUCUCCAGAAAACUGUGCUAGUUGGCAUCCAGCAGUGCCCAAGUAUUAUUUAACCCAUUAGAACCUGUGACUGCAUCAGCUUUAUAUCCUGGACCUCAGCCUGGAACAAAGGAGAGUUACACUUGGAUACUAAACACAAGUGGUCUGGAUAGAUUAUGCUGGGAAAAGAAGCCUGGAGUGGGCAGUACAGUGGGAGAACAAGAAAAUUAUGCAAGACAUCUCACAGAGCAGAAUCAGACUUGCAGCCCAUGAUAAAACAGAAGACCGACUGUAACAUCAAAGAAAUACAGAAGAUUUUAUGGCUUGCUGUUUACCUACAAGGGAAAUGCCUGAAUGCCUGAAUGAAAUCACUCCUUAUCCUUGGGAGAAAAUGACAAGAAAUGACAGCCACGGAAUCUUCCUCUGGAUAUGGGAACAAAAAUAGCUCUCAGAAUAAAUAGUGGCCACACCCAGAUGGAGUUUUGCUCUUGUUGCCCAGUCUUGAGUGCAAUGGCAUGAUCUCGGCUCACCGCAACCUCUGCCCCCAGGUUCAAGGGAUUCUCCUGCCUCAGCCUCCUGAGUAGUUGGGAUUACAGUGAUGACUUUAGUCAGAAGUGUGCUGGAGCAGUUUGCAGAGCCUUGCAAAAUUGAUGGUGCCUAUCUAUUUCCAGCGCUAUGUUCAUCAAUGCCAGGACCACCAUGAAGGAGCACACCAUUAAAUAUCCAUGAGAAUGUGUUCCAAGGAUGAACUCUACAGCACACAUCAUCUGUCCUCUAGAGCCCCAGCUUUGCAGAGUUGAGCCCUGGAACAGCAGCAGCAGCACUCUCUGAGAGCCUGCUAAAAAGGCAGAAUCUCUGGCCCCAUUCAGACCACCUGGAUCAAAAUCUGCAAUGUAACAAAAUCUCCUGAUAUGAUAAUAUUGGAGAGGCACAGGCCUAAAUUAUUUUGACUAUUUCUUUAAAAGUGAAAGCAAAUAGGUGUAUCUACUCAGUGUCAAUAUCAAGAAUAUUAUAGAAACUAUAGUAUUUGCUGGAGUAUUUAUCAUUAGCUUUAAGUAUAAGAUACUCCGUGGUGUUUCAGCAAUUAGUAAAAACACCAUCCAUCCAUUUUUUCAAAAGUCGCAUUGCCAAGAUUAUUAAACCUGUUGUAUGCACUAAAA